ACACCCGUAGCUCAGUUGGUAAUAAAGAGUAGCACUACCUACUCAUUUGUAAGCUGGCGGUAGGGGUCGGUAUUCUCUAAUAGAGAGAAGUCCACUCGGGUGUACCA
rnacentral:tRNA from 1 species